UACGGAGGGGGCUAGCGUUGUUCGGAAUUACUGGGCGUAAAGCGCACGUAGGCGGCUCUUUAAGUCGGGGGUGAAAUCCUGGAGCUCAACUCCAGAACUGCCUUCGAUACUGGAGAGCUUGAGUCCGGGAGAGGUGAGUGGAACUGCGAGUGUAGAGGUGAAAUUCGUAGAUAUUCGCAAGAACACCAGUGGCGAAGGCGGCUCACUGGCCCGGUACUGACGCUGAGGUGCGAAAGCGUGGGGAGCAAACAGG
rnacentral:rRNA from 1 species